rnacentral:lncRNA from 1 species
AUUUCAUUAGCAAUAUGCGAUCAAUGCUGGAACUCGGAGACAAGUUUAAAUUUGCAUAAAAUCGUCUGAUAAUGCACGUCUCGUAUUACGCGAUUUCUUAUAAUGCGGAACGUAUCCCCCGCGUUGUACGAGAGUCCGCUAUAUUUUUCUCAAUAUAUUUUGAUAAUAAUUAGGUGCAAUGUUUUAAAUGAAACUUUUGUUACAGUAAUAAAUACUGUAUUCUGGCAAAAAAAAAAAUUGCUAAAAAUAUGCAAUAAUCAUUCUAAAAACAAAACACAAAUACUUCAAGUUUUAGUUAUGUUUUAUUAAACAGAUCUGAAUUUCAUGAGGAACUUAGGAUUUUAUUAUAUUUAUAAUGCAUAUAACGAUCCCUCAACUGUAAAUUCAGUAAUAUUAAUAAUUUAUUAAUAAAAACCUUUAUUUACCUAGUAUAGAUGUCGAAUACAAUAGCUAACCCCGAAAGGCAUUAAGACAUACAGAAAACUUUCAGAAAGACUUUUAAAAAAUUUAAAAAUCUAUUUUUUUUUUUUUUUUUUUUU